UACGGAGGGAGCUAGCGUUGUUCGGAAUUACUGGGCGUAAAGCGCACGUAGGCGGCUUUGUAAGUUAGAGGUGAAAGCCCGGGGCUCAACCCCGGAAUUGCCUUUAAGACUGCAUCGCUUGAAUCCGGGAGAGGUGAGUGGAAUUCCGAGUGUAGAGGUGAAAUUCGUAGAUAUUCGCAAGAACACCAGUGGCGAAGGCGGCUCACUGGCCCGAUACUGACGCUGAGGUGCGAAAGCGUGGGGAGCAAACAGG
rnacentral:rRNA from 1 species